UGAGAAUAUAAGAAGAAUGUGGCAGAGCCCAGACUCAGCUGAGAGCUAUCUGGGGAGCAGAGCUCUCGGGGUCCCCUGCACCAUGGCCUGGCCUUUUGUCUGCCUCCUCCUGCUCACCUGCUGCUCAGGUUCCUUCUCCCAGGUUGUGCUGACUCAGUCUCCCUCCAUGUCUGCAUCCCUGGGAGCCACGGCCAGACUCACCUGCACCCUGGACAGUCAGCACAGUGGUUACCGAAUUGAAUGGUUCCAGCAGAUCCCAGGAAAGGCCCCUCGGUACCUCAUGUAUGUGAAGGGUGAUGGAAGUGCAGGCAAGGGCGAGGGGGUCCCCGACCGCUUCUCAGGCUCCGCCUCUGGGGCCGAUCGCUACUUGUCCAUCAACAACCUCCAGCCCGAGGACGAAGGCGAUUACUACUGCGGGGCAGCUUGUUGUAGUAAUUUUGAGCAUUCACAGUGCUACAUUCAGCGAGGAAGUGGGACAAAAACCCCCCUGCCAGCCCAGCCCCCUCCCCCCCACACAGCUGCCCCAUUUCUGGCCCAGCCCCAGCUGCUAAAGGGCCCGAGGCUGUGCUUCCUGUUUCUGUGUCCCUGUCUCAGAGCCCACUGUCCAUGAUGUGCCCAAAACCACACUGAAAGUAAGUCCUAGAAAUAGACCCUGAAUUUUCGCCCUGUCUCCCAU